GGAGUCUGGGCCGUGUCUCAGUCCCAAUGUGGCCGGCCAACCUCUCAGUCCGGCUACUGAUCGUCGUCUUGGUGGGCCGUUACCCCGCCAACUAACUAAUCAGACGCGAGGCCAUCUCAGAGCGAUAAAUCUUUGGCAGUCAGAGCCAUGCGACCCAACUGCAUUAUGCGGUAUUAGCACAAUUUUCACUGUGUUAUUCCCCUCUCCAAGGCAGGUUCCUCACGCGUUACUCACCCGUCCGCCACUAAGAAACUAUAUCAGUUGUCCGAAAACUCCGUCAAUAGCUCUCCGUUCGACUUGCAUGUGUUAAGCACGCCGCCAGCGUUCAUC
rnacentral:rRNA from 1 species